AUGGUAUCAUCAACUAUGAACUUCUUCUCCUUCUUCACAGUUGUUAUUUUCGCUGCCGCUGUGACCUUGGCUCAAGACCUUAGUCCCUCGUUGGCUCCAGCCCCAGGUCCAGAUGCUGGAGCAGGUGGGUCCAUUACAAAUUCAGUGGCCUUCGUUGGAGUUUCGGUUGUGUUGUCAAUGUUAGCCAUCUUCAAGCACUGA